CAAAGGAUUUUCUUCUACACGAAGGACACGUAGUCGUGUUAGCAUCCGGAAAGAGUCUGGAAGGACACGUAUCUGGUUAUUGCUAAUAUCCAGCUCUUCAAGAUUCUCAAGGUUCCCAAUAGAUCUUGGUAGGGACUGUAGAUCAGCAAAAUUGUUUCCUAUAUUCAUCUUGACAAGUGAGGUGGCAAAACACAAGCUCUCAGGCACCGACUCAAGCUCGUUGAAACUCACAUCGAGCUCC
rnacentral:misc_RNA from 1 species